CGUUGAAACACCGUUUCUCGUACGAACACCGAAGUUAAGCAACGUCGAACCUGGUCUGUGCCUAGAUGGGUACCCGACUUGGGAAUACUAGGUGUUGUAAG